CACGUAGGGCGCAAGCGUUGUCCGGAAUUAUUGGGCGUAAAGAGCUCGUAGGCGGUCUGUUGCGUCCGCUGUGAAAACUCGGGGCUUAACCCCGAGCCUGCAGUGGAUACGGGCAGACUAGAGGUAGGUAGGGGAGAAUGGAAUUCCCGGUGUAGCGGUGAAAUGCGCAGAUAUCCGGAGGAACACCGGUGGCGAAGGCGGCUUCCUGGACCGACACUGACGCUGAGGCGCGAAAGCUAGGGGAGCAAACGGG
rnacentral:rRNA from 1 species